GGCGGUAUGGUCAAGUGGUAAAGACAGUGGACUGCAAAUCCGUUAUCCCCAGUUCGACUCUGGGUGUCGUCUGAUAAAAAA
rnacentral:tRNA from 2 species